rnacentral:rRNA from 1 species
GAUGAACGCUGGCGGCGUGCCUAAUACAUGCAAGUCGAGCGAACAGACGAGGAGCUUGCUCCUUUGAUGUUAGCGGCGGACGGGUGAGUAACACGUAGGUAACCUACCUAUAAGACUGGGAUAACUUCGGGAAACCGGAGCUAAUACCGGAUAAUAUUUCGAACCGCAUGGUUCGAUAGUGAAAGAUGGCUUUGCUAUCACUUAUAGAUGGACCUGCGCCGUAUUAGCUAGUUGGUAAGGUAACGGCUUACCAAGGCAACGAUACGUAGCCGACCUGAGAGGGUGAUCGGCCACACUGGAACUGAGACACGGUCCAGACUCCUACGGGAGGCAGCAGUAGGGAAUCUUCCGCAAUGGGCGAAAGCCUGACGGAGCAACGCCGCGUGAGUAAUGAAGGUCUUCGGAUCGUAAAACUCUGUUAUUAGGGAAGAACAAACGUGUAAGUAACUGUGCACGUCUUGACGGUACCUAAUCAGAAAGCCACGGCUAACUACGUG